UGAAUAGCUCAGCUGGUAGAGCACGGGACACUUAAUCUCAGUGAUGUGGGUUCAAGUCCCACACUGGGCAAAA